GAUUGCAGGCUGCAACCCGCCCUGCAUGAAGUCGGAAUUGCUAGUAAUCGCGGAUCAGCAUGCCGCGGUGAAUACGUUCCCGGGCCUUGUACACACCGCCCGUCACACCAUGGGAGCCGGUAAUACCCGAAGUCAGUAGUCCAACCACGUGAGGACGCUGCCGAAGGUAGGAUUGGCGACUGGGGUGAAGUCGUAACAAGGUACC
rnacentral:rRNA from 1 species